rnacentral:rRNA from 1 species
UUAGCAACACGCCUGCCUAAUUUUGCAAGUCAACCGGACAGAUGGGAGCUUGCUCCCUGAUGUUAGCGGCGGACGGGUGAGUAACACGUGGGUAACCUGCCUGUAAGACUGGGAUAACUCCGGGAAACCGGGGCUAAUACCGGAUGGUUGUUUGAACCGCAUGGUUCAGACAUAAAAGGUGGCUUCGGCUACCACUUACAGAUGGACCCGCGGCGCAUUAGCUAGUUGGUGAGGUAACGGCUCACCAAGGCGACGAUGCGUAGCCGACCUGAGAGGGUGAUCGUCCACACUGGGACUGAGACACGGCCCAGACUCCUACGGGAGGCAGCAGUAGGGAAUCUUCCGCAAUGGACGAAAGUCUGACGGAGCAACGCCGCGUGAGUGAUGAAGGUUUUCGGAUCGUAAAGCUCUGUUGUUAGGGAAGAACAAGUGCCGUUCAAAUAGGGCGGCACCUUGACGGUACCUAACCAAAAAGCCACGGCUAACUACGUGCCAGCAGCCGCGGUAAUACCUAGGUGGCAAGCGUUUGUCCGGAAUUAUUG